CACAGGGCCCAUUUCAUUUUUUUUUUGUCUUUUUUCAGCUAGGUUUAAGAUCUUCAUUUUAAAAAAAAAUUGUAAGAAAAAAAUGGACCUAAAUUCUUUUGUAGCACAUCACCCAAUUUAUGUUUGAGACGGACCUGCCUAAUAGAUAUUCUUUUACAACUAUACCUACAGCUCCUUAGUUCAUACAAAAAUCUUUAAAGGAUUUCUUCAUUGGAUUCUAAUUUUCCGAUCACCGGACUCCUCCGAAAUGUCACUAUCAAAUAACUUAUCCUCCAUGUUUCAGUCUAUAUAACUUACGUGGUCCGAGUAUAUUUUUUAGUUAUUAUGUCCUUGUCUAACUAUGUCAUUGUAUUUUCCAUCGUUUUCUAAAUUGUUUAUUGUUUACAUGAUUAUAGAUUUUUCUGUCUUCUUUUUUGUUCAAUGGAUAUGUUCAUAUGCAAACCAAUGUUUUAAACUUAUUCAAAACCGAUCUAGACGACUCAGAGAACAUUGUCUGCCUCAGUGCCUCCUCGGCUUAUAUAUAUAUAUAUAUAUAUAUAUAUAUAUAUAUAUAUAUAUAUAUAUAUCUACCCAAUUAUUUAUACGCGAGAACUUGGCUUUGUAGAUGUACAAAAUAUAUUUAUAUUUGAACUUUGAACAUUUCAAAACUAUCUUUUGUUAUCUUGGUGUCGUUCAAAUAAUUCUGCUCACAUUGGUUUCAAGAAUAAAUUUAUAUUACAUGUAUCCUCCGUUUGAGCGGGGUUUUAACAAUAAACAAACAAAAAAAUGUGAAGUCUUGAAUCUUAAAUACCCUCAAAAACAAGUACAUAGAAUAUAAAUUUGAAACAGACGAAAUAUGUAGAAUACGAAUGGCAGCCAAACCAAAUACGUAGAAUACAAACAUCAAACAAACUGGCGGAAAGCACAGGUACCCUAGUGAUUGAAAAGGAAGACAUUACACAAACCACACACUUAAUAAACACAAAAGCUCACCUCAUCGAACAACUUUGUCCAUUCAUUAUUCUCAACUAUAU